rnacentral:rRNA from 1 species
CCGUCAAUUCCUUUAAGUUUCAGCCUUGCGGCCGUACUUCCCAGGUGGCUCGCUUCACGGCUUCCCUACGGCACCGACAACGGUCGCACCGUGGCCGACACCUAGCGAGUAUCGUUUACGGCUAGGACUACCCGGGUAUCUAAUCCGGUUCGUGCCCCUAGCUUUCGUCCCUUGCCGUCAGGUCCGUUCUGGUGAGACGCCUUCGCCACUGGUGGUCCUUCAAGGAUUACAAGAUUUCACCCCUACCCCUGAAGUACCUCUCACCUCUCCCGGCCUCGAGCCGAACAGUAUCUCCUGAAAGCCCAACAGUUGAGCUGCUGGAUUUCUCAAGAGACUUAUCCGGCCGGCUACAGACCCUUUAGACCCAAUAAUAACGGUUACCACUCGAGCCGCCGGUGUUGCCGCGGCGGGUGGCACCGGUCUUGCCCGGCCCUUGCUAUGCAAUGCUUUUUAGGCAUCACGACAGCCAGAUUUGUAACCUGGCACUCGAGGUCCCCUUAUCGCCGUUGCCGGCAUUGUAAAGUUUUCGCGCCUGCUGCCUCCCGUAGGAGU